GAGAAGUGGCUGAUAAAAGCAAUAAAUUGUAAAUUUAUGCAUGAAUUAAAUUCCUUCUCCAA
rnacentral:tRNA from 1 species